UACGUAGGGUGCGAGCGUUAAUCGGAAUUACUGGGCGUAAAGCGUGCGUAGGUGGUGAGUUAAGUCUGUCGUGAAAGCCCCGGGCUCAACCUGGGAAUGGCGAUGGAUACUGGCUCGCUAGAGUGCGGUAGAGGAGAGUGGAAUUCCCGGUGUAGCAGUGAAAUGCGUAGAGAUCGGGAGGAACAUCAGUUGCGAAGGCGGGCUACUGGGCCGAUACUGACGCUGAAGCGCGAAAGCCAGGGGAGCGAACGGG
rnacentral:rRNA from 1 species